CCUACGGGAGGCAGCAGUGAGGAAUAUUGGUCAAUGGACGAGAGUCUGAACCAGCCAAGUAGCGUGAAGGAUGACUGCCCUAUGGGUUGUAAACCUCUUUUAUAAAGGGAUAAAACGAGGCACGUGUGCAUUUUUGCAUGUACCUUAUGAAUAAGGAUCGGCUAAUUCCGUGCCAGCAGCCGCGGUAAUACGGAGGGUCCGAGCGUUAUCCGGAUUUAUUGGGUUUAAAGGGAGCGUAGAUGGGUCGUUAAGUCAGUUGUGAAAGUUUGCGGCUCAACCGUGAAAGUGCAAUUGGUACUGGUGGUCUUGAGUGCAGGUGAGGUAGGCGGAAUUCGUGGUGUAGCGGUGAAAUGCUUAGAUAUCACGAAGAACCCCGAUUGCGAAGGCAGCUUACUAAAGUGUGACUGACGUUGAUGCUCGAAAGUGUGGGUAUCAAACAGGAUUAGAUACCCUUGUAGUC
rnacentral:rRNA from 1 species